CCAAAGAGAGAGAUGGUUUACUCUGAGCACAAAAGCAUUACUGUUCUUAUGCUUCCAUGGCUAGCUCACGGCCACAUUUCUCCCUUCCUAGAGCUUGCCAAGAAGCUUACCUCUAAGAGAAAUUUUCACAUCUUUAUCUGUUCCACGCCUGUCAAUCUCACCUCCAUUAAGCCAAAACUCUCUCCAAAAUACUCUCAUUGCAUUGAAUUUGUGGAACUUCAUCUUCCACAUGAAGAGUUGCCUGAAUUGCCACCUCAUUACCACACCACCAAUGGCCUCCCUCCUCAUCUCAUGUCCACUCUCAAAAGGGCCUUCGACAUGUCCAGCAAUAACUUCUCCAACAUCCUCACAACCCUAAAGCCAGAUUUGCUCAUUUAUGAUUUUAUUCCACCAUGGGCACCCUCUCUAGCUUCGUUGCAAAAUAUUCCAUCGGUCCGGUUCAUCACCACCAGUGCUGCCUUGAGCUCCCUUCGUGUUCACCAUCUCAAGAACCCUCGUGUCAAGUUUCCUUUUCCUUCGAUCUAUCUUCGGGAUUACGAAGCUAAAAAGUUCAACAAUCUGUUAGAACCUUCGUCAAAUGACAUCAACGACGGAGACCGCGUCCAGCAAUGCAGUGCUCGAUCAUGCAACAUCAUUUUGGUGAAGACAUCUAGAGAGAUUGAAGCAAAAUAUGUUGAUUAUCUCUCUGGUUUAAUGGGGAAGAAGAUCGUGCCAGUUGGUCCGCUUGUUCAAGAGCCAAUGGAUCUAAAAGUUGAUGAGGAAACAUGGAUCAUGAAAUGGCUGAACAAAAGGGAAAGGUCUUCGGUUGUUUAUGUUUGCUUUGGGAGUGAGUACUUUUUGUCCAGGGAGCAAAUCGAAGAGCUAGCUCAUGGGUUAGAGCUUAGCAAAGUGAGCUUUAUUUGGGUUAUAAGAUUUCCAAAGGAAGAGAAAGGUAAAAGAGUUGAAGAGGUGUUACCAGAAGGGUUUUUAGAGAGGGUGGGGGAGAAGGGAAUUAUAGUGGAGGGUUGGGCUCCGCAGGCAAACAUAUUGAAGCAUUCAAGUGUUGGUGGGUUUGUGAGUCACUGUGGAUGGAGCUCAGUGUUGGAGAGCAUCAAGUUUGGUGUUCCAAUUAUAGCCAUGCCUAUGCAUCUUGACCAGCCAAUUAACGCUAGAUUAGUAGAGGAGGUGGGUGUUGGUGUGGAAGUUAAAAGAACAGGAGAAGGAAUUUUGCAAAGAGAAGAGAUGGCGAAGGUGAUCAGAAAGGUGGUUGUGGAGAAAAUUGGAGAGGGCAUGAGAAAAAAGGCAUUGGAAUUAAGAGACAACAUGAAAAACAAAGAUGGAGAGAUAGAUGGGGUCGUGGAGGAAUUGAUGCAAUUUGUAGGAGAAGGGAAACAAAUAUCUACUUUUAAGUGA
rnacentral:lncRNA from 1 species